GCACCCAUGGCUCAGAUGGUUACAGUGCAGUUUUGAAAAUUUUCAACGCGGGUUCGAACCCCACUGGGGCU